GACGAACGCUGGCGGCGUGCUUARCACAUGCAAGUCGAACGGAAAGGCCCUGCUUGCAGGRUACUCGAGUGGCGAACGGGUGAGUAACACGUGGGUGAUCUGCCCUGCACUUCGGGAUAAGCCUGGGAAACUGGGUCUAAUACCGGAUAGGAGCCAUUUUUAGUGUGAUGGUUGGAAAGUUUUUUCGGUGUAGGAUGAGCUCGCGGCCUAUCAGCUUGUUGGUGGGGUAAUGGCCUACCAAGGCGGCGACGGGUAGCCGGCCUGAGAGGGUGGACGGCCACAUUGGGACUGAGAUACGGCCCAGACUCCUACGGGAGGCAGCAGUGGGGAAUAUUGCACAAUGGGCGCAAGCCUGAUGCAGCGACGCCGCGUGGGGGAUGACGGCCUUCGGGUUGUAAACUCCUUUCGCUAGGGACGAAGCUUUUUGUGACGGUACCUAGAUAAGAAGCACCGGCUAACUACGUGCCAGCAGCCGCGGUAAUACGUAGGGUGCGAGCGUUGUC
rnacentral:rRNA from 1 species